CUCGUAUGGAGCCCCACACAUGACAUGCAGGGAAAAAAGCAUGUUUGGCCUUAUUUGUGCCCUUCUGAACCGGCGUCUAAUGGCCUGGACGGAGUAAAAACGGAAACCCACACAGCUACACCUGCCAAAUACCUGUGCCCUGAUGCGCAAUUUACAUUGUUAUUUUGGACUUCAUGAGUGACAUGUUUAUUAUUAUUUUAUUUUUUUUCUGUUUUUGAAAUGACUCUAGGAAACACGUUGACGUUCAAGUGUGUUCAAGUCAGUUAGAUGAAAAAGUACCUCUCUGGUGAAACGUGAAUCUGUGUAUCACAAAGGAAUACAUAUUUGUACAUACAGAGGUACAGUGCAUAUUAAUAUAAGUUAUAUAAGUGUUUUAUGUCACUGUAAGUAUCAUAAAUGUAUAUGUAUUUCUUUUUUAUUGUAUUUUGCAGCUUCAUAUGUACAGUAUGUCAUAAGACAUAAAUGUUUUUUUUUUUGUUUUUUUUGUUUUUUUUUUACAUCUGCCAUUAGUCACUGUCAUGUCAUUAUUUGCAUUUUACUAUGUGCCAAAUGUACUGUUCUCAAAGGAUGUGAAUGUGCAUUGUUUGGUUUGUAACCUAUUAAAUAAGAUGUCAGAAAUUAA